rnacentral:rRNA from 1 species
UACGUAGGGUGCAAGCGUUGUCCGGAAUUAUUUGGGCGUAAAGAGCUCGUAGGCGGUCUGUCGCGUCUGCUGUGAAAAACCUAGGGCUUUAACUCUGGGCGUGCAGUGGGGUACGGGCAGGCUAGAGUGCGGGUAGGGGGAGACUGGAAUUCCUGGGUGUAGCGGUGGAAUGCGCAGAUAUCAGGAGGAACACCGAUGGCGAAAGGCAGGUCACUGGGCCCACUACUGACGCUGAGGAGCGAAAAGCAUGGGGGAGCGAACAGG